AAUCCCAAUCCUUCAGUGAGUGUAAAAGUCUCUUGAACGAAACCUUAAGCAUCCCAAACCUUGCUGCUGUCGUGGCUUUCAACGCUCACACGAUGCUGUGUGUUGUUCGUUCCUCUCCAGUCUCUGUUCGAAGGCGUCAUCAAGAUUUUGCAAACAGUUGCCGAUCUGGUGGGCUCAAAUUCUCCACUGACGAUCAUACGGCACCCACACGGCACCAUUUAUCAGAGCAGCCACAAGCCUAGUGAUCUCGGCAACGCAGUGCUGGGCUCACAGGAAGACGACGUGUACAUUAAGAUGCCGCCAUAUUCAGUCCUGCAGUCGCAGCUUGGACAGUUCCAAAAAGUCUUAGCUCGGUUGUCCACGUUCAAGAACAACCCCUAUCCAUCCGAUGAAAAUGUGUCGGGAACCGUUUGUAGCCUCGUUCUCAGCGACAGCGGCAAAGACAUCACGGUGGGAAACCUGACGCAGAUGAUUGAG